GGCCUAACACAUGCAAGUCGAGCGGUAACAGGAAAGUGCUUGCACUUUUGCUGACGAGCGGCGGACGGGUGAGUAAUGUCCUGGGAUCUGCCCGAGGGCGGGGGAUAACCACUGGAAACGGUGGCUAAUACCGCAUAAUGUCGCAAGACCAAAGUGGGGGACCUGAAAGGCCCUCACGCCCUUGGAUGAACCCAGAUGGGAUUAGCUAGUAGGUAGGGUAAUGGCCUACCUAGGCGACGAUCCCUAGCUGGUCUGAGAGGAUGACCAGCCACACUGGGACUGAGACACGGCCCAGACUCCUACGGGAGGCAGCAGUGGGGAAUAUUGCACAAUGGGCGCAAGCCUGAUGCAGCCAUGCCGCGUGUAUGAAGAAGGCCUUCGGGUUGUAAAGUACUUUCAGCGGGGAGGAAGGGUAUGGCCUGAAGAGGGCGAUAGCUUGACGUUACCCGCAGAAGAAGCACCGGCUAAC
rnacentral:rRNA from 1 species